UGUAGCAGAACAGCCACACCUGUCUCCAGUUGUAAUUAGAGCCAAUCUGCAGACAGUUGAAACCAAUCAGUUUCUCUAUUUAACCGCGCCCUGGGUUUCUUUCUGUAUUUUAUAUGUAUACGCCGGCAGGGGAAGGAGUAGUAGGUUAUUGGAGAGACCGAGCGUACGAAGGACCAGGAGGUUUUAAACAAGAAAGGAAAAUAUGAUUACAACAAAGAUUGCACCCCCACAGACAACGCUUGGAGAACCUUCCACUGGGGGCGAAGUGUUUACUUUGUUUGUUUUGGGUUGCAUAAAUCGCGAACGCUGCCGAAGCCUGGCUGUAUGUGUAAACCCUUCCUUACAAAGAACCCGGCGCAGAAAACGCUACAUUUGGGUCGCCUGCCUAUUGAAUUACGACAGAUACCAGCAACCUUUUAUAACCGUGAAAAGCCUCCAUUACUGUCCAAGCAGUCACUUGCUCUGAAAGGCACUCAGACACUUUUGCAGAAUAAAAACGCUCUCAUUAAGCAGUGUCGGUGAAGAGGAAAAAGAACAAGAUGACAUCAAGGAUGCAGAUCAUCUGAUGGAACAGUGGGAGAAGGUGAAAUCAUGGAAAGACCUGGCAAAUGACCCUAAACUGGCCAAGAAGGGAGAAGCAAAUGAAAGCCCAGCGGGUCCAGAAUGCAUUGCAGCUGUACAACCUCUUCCUGACUAAGCAUGGGGAGGAUCUGAAGAACCACAUCGUUGACCUCAUCAGCAUCGCAGACAACUUAGACAUGGAAACCAAGAAUGCUGGCAUCACCGGGGGUGGCUGCUGUGGCAGGGGUGAUCCUCGCCCCCUUCACCAUGGGGGCAUCACUGGGAAUGACUGUGACCGGAGUCGGUGUAGCUACAGUGGGAGGGGUCACAGGGGCAUCAGCAGUUAUCGCUAACAAGGUGAACAGCACACAGGACAGGAAGAAGAUCGAGAUUAUCCUCCAGGACUACCGGGCCCAGAUGGGUGACAUUGAAGCCUGCCUGAGGUUCAUCAACGUGGGCAUGGAGCACCUGAAGAAGCACAUCCCCUCAACCCUCCAGGGGGUUGACACAGAGGCCAUCAGGGUGACCAGGUAUGAUAUUAAAUCAUCUAUUUAUUCAUUGUCUAGAAAUAUCUUUGUUUUUUAUGUCUAAGUAAGUUUAUUUUUCU